rnacentral:rRNA from 1 species
CGUACGGGUGAGUAACACGUGGAUAACCUACCUAUAAGACUGGGAUAACUUCGGGAAACCGGAGCUAAUACCGGAUAAUAUAUUGAACCGCAUGGUUCAAUAGUGAAAGACGGUUUUGCUGUCACUUAUAGAUGGAUCCGCGCCGCAUUAGCUAGUUGGUAAGGUAACGGCUUACCAAGGCAACGAUGCGUAGCCGACCUGAGAGGGUGAUCGGCCACACUGGAACUGAGACACGGUCCAG